rnacentral:rRNA from 1 species
AUGAACGCUGGCGGCGUGCCUAAUACAUGCAAGUCGAGCGAACAGACGAGGAGCUUGCUCCUCUGACGUUAGCGGCGGACGGGUGAGUAACACGUGGAUAACCUACCUAUAAGACUGGGAUAACUUCGGGAAACCGGAGCUAAUACCGGAUAAUAUAUUGAACCGCAUGGUUCAAUAGUGAAAGACGGUUUUGCUGUCACUUAUAGAUGGAUCCGCGCCGCAUUAGCUAGUUGGUAAGGUAACGGCUUACCAAGGCAACGAUGCGUAGCCGACCUGAGAGGGUGAUCGGCCACACUGGAACUGAGACACGGUCCAGACUCCUACGGGAGGCAGCAGUAGGGAAUCUUCCGCAAUGGGCGAAAGCCUGACGGAGCAACGCCGCGUGAGUGAUGAAGGUCUUCGGAUCGUAAAACUCUGUUAUUAGGGAAGAACAAAUGUGUAAGAAACUAUGCACGUCUUGACGGUACCUAAUCAGAAAGCCACGGCUAACUACGUG